GAAAACCCAAAACCCCUCUCUCCUGUUGAUGGCAAAUGCCCGGCUAGAAAAUUGAGAGACGACUCUGCAAGUCGACGAUGCAGAGCUCCUAAUCGUGAGCCAAGAUCCCGCAAAUUGUGACUGCAAGAACCACAAAACCUCCAAGCUCAAGAACCCUAAAAAUCCGAACCUGCAGUUGCCUAAAUAUGCGACCUUCAGCGAACCUACAUUGGGAACCUUUGAAGAACUUCCGAUCGAGGGCCGACCUCCAUUGCAAACAUGUAGUGAACGUUCGACUAACUUGCAAUCGCCUCCCUUCCGUUUGUACCGAAAUGGCAGAUGUUGAGAAACAAUCAACAGGUUAGAAAAAAAAAUAACCUCCAUCUACUGCUGAUUCAAUUGGUUGUAGUAUUUUAAAUGAUUUAUUUUUUUCAAUUGGAUAGUAUCAUUUAUUGCAUAUUACUGGAGUCUUAACUUAUGUAAUUUUUAAUACAAAUGUAGAUGACUCAGACUUCAAUGACUCGGACUAUGAUGUGUAUGAUGAUGAUGAAAAUCUGUUUGAUCGUAGUGUGAUAUGCAUACUAUGGUGGAGUAUGAAGAAGCCCUUGAAUUACAUAGUUUUUCAUAUGCAUCUUCAGAGAAAUUAAAAUUCGGUAGUGGUUCAGAUUCGGAGGAUAAUUUAGGUCGAUUGAAUUACCUUGAAUAUUAUGAUGGAAAUGAAAAGAAGAAUCCACAUCUUGAGGUUGGUUUACUUUUUGCUUCGUUUGACAGCUGAAAUCUGUUGUUAGGAAUUAUGCAGUGUUCAAUCGGGUUAAACCUAUCUUCAAACAAAACGAUAAAGAUUGGGUUCAUUGUUUUUGUAAAGAUGGAUGCCGAUGGAAGUUGUGGGCGUCCAAGUUACAGGGUCGAGACACGGUUCACAUAAAAAUGUAUGAUCCGAAACACACUUAUUUUAAUGUUCGGACGAAUAAGUAUGCAAAUUAUAAAUGGCUUGCGGAAUAUUAUUUGGAGGACUUCAAAGUUGAUCCUGAAUGGAAGACAAAACAUUUUAGAACUACAGUGAGAAAGGAUUUUGUUUGCACAUUACUAAGGUACUUGCUUGUAAUUCGCGAAAGUGCGCUAAGGUUUUAAUAGAACAUAGCGAUAAAGAACAAUUUGCUUUGUUAUGGCGUUAUAGUGCUAAAUUGAGAAGAACAAAUUUGGGUUUAACUGUGAUCAUCUCUCAGGUGGAUAAUAUACUUAGGUAUCUACAUUUGCAUUGAGGCAUGUAAGAGAGGAUUCUUACUGGGUUGUCGAUGUUUUGUGAGUAUAGAAGGAUGUUUUUUGAAAGGAAAAUAUUGUGAUCAGUUGCUGGCAGCAAUUGGGGUUGAUGUCAAUGAUUGCAUAUAUCCUAUUUCAUAUGCAGUAGUUGAGAAAGAAAACACUAGUUCGUGGUGUUGGUUUCUUACAUUGUUAUCAGAGUACCUUUCUAUAGAGAACUGGUUGUUCGUAACCUUCAUGAGUAAUAGACAAAAAGGACUAGUUAAUGUUGUUGUCGAUCUAUUCCCGAAAGCAGAACAUGAACGUAGGUAUUGUGUUAAGCAUAUGUAUCAUAAUUUUUUUCGAAGCGAAUUCACGGGAAAGUACUUAAAAGAUUGUUUGCGGGGUGCUACAAAAUCAAGUCAUUUGGCUUUGUUUAAAUACUGGAAGUCAAAUAUUGAAACUGCUAAUUCGACGGCCGAUGGAUGGCUGAAGGCCAAACCAUUGUCUGAGUGGAGUAGGACUCACUUUUCUGAACAAGCAAAGUGCGAAAUGCUCCUUACUAACCUGUGCGAGUGCAAACAAAUUUAUUCUUGAGGAAAGAGAUAAAUCAAGUCUAACGAUGUUGAUUGGCAUUCAAAUGAAGUUGAUGCAUAGAGUUCAAAUGAAGCGGGACAAAAUGAGAAACUACAACUCAAUAUGUUCAAGAACCUAAAAGAUUCUGGAAAAAAAUGUUGUUGCGGCCCAUGAAUGCAUCUUGCGGUGGAAUGGGAUAAAUCAAUAUCAAGUGGAGUGUCCAAAUGGUGAAUACGUAGUUGACAUGGACAGCAAAAUUUGUGCUUGUCGAAGAUGGGAAAUAUCAGGAGUCCCGUGUUUGUAUGCCAUUACCUGCAUCUUAGACAAAGAACAUGAGAUAAAUGAUUGCGUGUCAGAACGGUUUACAGUUGACAGCUACAUGAGCCAUAUGAACACAUUAUAAAUCCGAUGAACGGCAAAGAAUUGUGGCUUGAAACUGAACAAUCACAUGUCAAGCCUCCACCUUGGUACGUUGCUACAAAAGGAAGGAAACAAAGAAAAGAGAAUGAACCCUCUUAAUCACAAGCACGAUCACAAUCAACAGUGUCAGUAAAAAAAAAGGGUAUGGUGUUUAUGACAUGUUCAGUGUGCAGAGUAAAAGGACACAGCAAAAGGUUCCACAAAGUGAAGAACGUACUACAUACCAGUGCAAGUGCAACUGAGGAUCAGCAAAUUGUUGAUGAUUGUUGAAAAUGAUCGAGGUUGUGAUGCUUUUGUUAUUUUGGGACAGUCCCUUAAUUUGAAUGAUUGGACUGAGAUGUCGGAUACACCAAAUGUGAUAGUGUGUUUAGUUAUCUAAACACUUUUUUUAAAACCUCUUACGUAAUUAUAGUGUUGGCACGAAAUGGAAAUACAUUUUGUGUUCUAGUCUAUCAUUUCAAUUGUACAUUGGGAUUGUAUUGAUUUUGGUAUUGAAUAAUCACAAGAAGUUGCUGGAAUUUUGGAAUUGAAACAAACUCAAAUUUGAAACAUAUUAAACAUAUUAUACCAACUUACUUGCAGCCACGUCCAAGGCCAUUUUACUAGCGAACUGAUACACAUUACAGGAACACUAUAGGAAACGAAAAGACAUUACAGAUCCAUAAAAUGAAUGCUACAAAAUGGGAACAAACUGUCUGAUUACAAAAUGGUUGAAACAAAAGCAUCAACACUACAAACAAAUCUAUUAGAUAUAAUUGGAAUUGCAUGAAUCUAUGAAAUUGGGCCGGGCGUCGUCCAUUUUGAGAAUUCAAAAUGUUUGACUGGCUAGUGAAGGAGUGACAUGUCAGCAAGGGAGUUUGACUGGUCAAAUCAAUAGAAGAGGAGCAUUAUUGGUUGAUGACAUAGAUGGGAAAUUAAUAGUUAUUGUAAGAAGUUUAUUAGUUUUUUAGGUACAAACACAUAGGAUGCUGGAGAUAUAGCUACGUGGCACUCCUCAAAGAAAACGUGAUUUUGAAUUUCAUUGAAUUUUGCUUAAAUUGCUAUAAUUUAGUAUUUCUACUUAUGUAGGAUUUAAUUAAAAACAUAUGUUUUUAUUAACAAAUUGGAUCGAGAAACAUUUUUUUGUUAUGUCUAGGCUAAAUAAUAUGAAUUGAGAAAGAGAGAUAAGAGAUAAAAUCUGGGUUAGUGAUUGUCAUCAAAGUUUAUCUAUUAUCUGAUAUCUUAUCUAUAUCCAUUUGGAUUUAGUGCAUUAUAUUAAACACGAGAGGUCCAAUAAAAAAUUGACCAUAGGCGUUUAGCCAGUUGGUCACUUCUCAAUAUUGUGUCAAUUUCAAUUUUAAAUUAUCGGAUACGGGAAUAGGCAUCCAUCAAUCAUUUUCUAGGUGGACGAGCAUUUAAUUUUUCUGACUUGGAGUUGACACAUGUUAUAGAGAUAUCAUGUACAUCAUUCAUAAAGAUCUCAUGGACAAGCAUUUGACCAAAAGAUUCAUAUCUUGAGUCGAGGCAUCGAAGAGGCACUCCUUCCAUUGUAACGCCUCGGUUGAUACCACUUUGGAUAGUAACGCUCUGGUCAGCCUGCAUCGCCUCGGACAAUAUCACGUAACGCUUCAGUUAGUCCACCUGACCAUGGCUCCGCAUAGGCAUAAUGCACGCUAAAGUGUAUUCUGCUGAGGAGGCAUAAUAAUGGUCUCUCAAGUCUAGGUCUGAAUAUUUAUAUAAUUCGUUGGCUACUGGAUCACUCAUGGACUUGGGUGGUUGCCGCUUUGGGAAAGUUCAAAUGGAAGAGGCGUCAUCCCACUAGAGGACAAGGCUCUGGGGGAUAGUAUCCCACUAGAGGACGAGGCUAUGGAGGAUAGCAACUUUGAGAAAGCUAAGGUUGUAGAGGUGUAGUCCCACCAGAGGAUGAGGCUUUGAGGGAUAGCAGCUUUCGGCAUAGCCCACUAGAGGACAAGGUUCUGGGGGAUAGCAACUUUGAGAAAGCUGAGGAUGCAGAGGCGUAGUUCCACCAGGACGAGGCUAUGGGAGUACGGAUAAGCCAAUGAUUUCAAAGUUAUUGCGGGUUCCCAAGGGAGAUAGUUGGAUUAUCGUUUACUCUCAAGAAAAGCUGCCACUACUAAUCAUGGCAAGCGACUGCUGAGGUUCAAGGAGACGCGCUUCAUGGGAUCGUGGGUGUCAUAGUCAAAUCAUGAGCAUUGAGCUUAUUUGAUGUUUAGUUUUUAUGGUUUGGAUUCAUAUCGAAAUUAACUACCAUGAUGAAUUAUGAUUGCAUCUGAUGGUGACGAUUGUUAGUAGUUGCCUUUAAAAUGUGUUUUCCCCAUUUUUCAAACUUUUCACUUUGGUUAAUAGUGAAAAUUCUCUUAUUUACUCACCUUUGACGACAUUCUUGCAUUUUUCUGGGUUGUCCGACGAUCUACUCAUAGUUUUAUUGGGUUUUCCAGCAAACCUCUAUUAGCCCUUCAUUCUUUGUAAGUAAACUACUCGAAACACUGCCAAAAUUUUUUAUUUCUAUAAAAAUGGUGUCUAAGUUGUUAGGAAAAGUGUUGGGUGGCAACUUAGGUUAGAGAACCCAUUGUACUAAGUUCGGUCAAAGUUUCUGCGCCCAUAAUAGGUGGGGAAAAAUUUGGAAGAGGCUAGAUAGUCACGUAGAUACCUUGGUUCAUUAGGGGCCUCUGACUAUCCGUCAAGGAUGAACAGUACAGAUUUUAUAAAACUGCAUGUCAAAUAUAGGAUUUCAGAUAAUGUAGGCCUUAAGUUUUGAACCUUAAUGAGCGAGCCUGCUGCCCAAGGUAGAUGUGCGUGGCUAUAAGCGAAGUCAUUCUUAGGGUAGGUUGAAGUUGCCUAUUCACCCUUUCUUUCGCUUCGUCUUUAGAUCUUAUAGUUUGGCCCCUACCCAUAAAACUCAAACUCCUGGAGUAAAUGGUGGGGUCAUGGAUGUUGUGGAGGAAAUACUCUUAUGGGAUGGAGAUGCCUUUUUUUGUUUUCCAAACCCUUUCCAUAUCCAAAGUAACCAUGAGGAGCGACAAAAUGAGGGGGGUGCUAUUACGUUGUGUCAUGGGGUCCAUACUUCAUUUGUGCUCGAUCUUCCAAACUUGAUAAAGGACUAGAAGAGCUCAUAGUCUUAGGCUUCUAAAAGGUGGGACACAAUGGAUGGGGAUCCCCUGACAUCUCUGACGAUUCCCAUGAAGUUUUCUACCUUUAGUGAGUCUCCCAUUGUUUUUUUAUCAUACAUAUGCCUGUUUGUUGCCUAAUAGUUUAUGUUCAUGCAGGUGCGUUGCGACACCAUCUGCAUCAUCUUACCACUGGCUCAUAAGGAAGAACAUUUACUUCAUAGACAAGGG
rnacentral:lncRNA from 1 species